rnacentral:rRNA from 1 species
AACGAACGCUGGCGGCAUGCCUAACACAUGCAAGUCGAACGGGAUCCUAGCUUGCUAGGUGAGAGUGGCGGACGGGUGAGUAACACGUGGGAAUCUGCCUUUUUGGUUCGGGAUAACCGCGGGAAACUGCGGCUAAUACCGAAUGCCCUCGAGAGAGGAAAGUAUUUAUCGCCAGAAGAGGAGCCCGCGUCCGAUUAGGUAGUUGGUGAGGUAAUGGCUCACCAAGCCGACGAUCGGUAGCUGGUCUGAGAGGAUGAUCAGCCACACUGGGACUGAGAUACGGCCCAGACUCCGUACGGGAGGCAGCAGGUGGGGAAUA